rnacentral:rRNA from 1 species
UAUGCUACCGCUUUUGGAUGGGCCCGCGGCGCAUUAGCUAGUUGGUGGGGUAAAGGCUUACCAAGGCAAUGAUGCGUAGCCGAACUGAGAGGUUGAUCGGCCACAUUGGGACUGAGACACGGCCCAAACUCCUACGGGAGGCAGCAGUAGGGAAUCUUCCACAAUGGGCGAAAGCCUGAUGGAGCAACGCCGCGUGGGUGAAGAAGGUCUUCGGAUCGUAAAACCCUGUUGUUAGAGAAGAAAGUGCGUGAGAGUAACUGUUCACGUUUCGACGGUAUCUAACCAGAAAGCCACGGCUAACUACGUGCCAGCAGCCGCGGUAAUACGUAGGUGGCAAGCGUUAUCCGGAUUUAUUGGGCGUAAAGGGAACGCAGGCGGUCUUUUAAGUCUGAUGUGAAAGCCUUCGGCUUAACCGGAGUAGUGCAUUGGAAACUGGGAGACUUGAGUGCAGAAGAGGAGAGUGGAACUCCAUGUGUAGCGGUGAAAUGCGUAGAUAUAUGGAAGAACACCAGUGGCGAAAGCGGCUCUCUGGUCUGUAACUGACGCUGAGGUUCGAAAGCGUGGGUAGCAAACAGGAUUAGAUACCCUGGUAGUCCACGCCGUAAACGAUGAAUGCUAAGUGUUGGAGGGUUUCCGCCCUUCAGUGCU